rnacentral:tRNA from 1 species
GUCGGGGUGGCCGAGCGGUCUAAGGCGCCAGACUCUGGAGUAAUCUUCUGGGUGUUCUGGUUCACGAUGUGGGCGUGGUUUCGAAUCCCACCUCUGACA